GACGAACGCUGGCGGCGUGCUUAACACAUGCAAGUCGAACGGAAAGGCCCUGCUUUUGUGGGGUGCUCGAGUGGCGAACGGGUGAGUAACACGUGAGUAACCUGCCCUUGACUUUGGGAUAACUUCAGGAAACUGGGGCUAAUACCGGAUAGGAGCUCCUGCUGCAUGGUGGGGGUUGGAAAGUUUCGGCGGUUGGGGAUGGACUCGCGGCUUAUCAGCUUGUUGGUGGGGUAGUGGCUUACCAAGGCUUUGACGGGUAGCCGGCCUGAGAGGGUGACCGGCCAGAUUGGGACUGAGAUACGGCCGAGACUCCUACGGGAGGCAGCAGUGGGGAAUAUUGCACAAUGGGCGGAAGCAUGAUGCAGCAACGCCGCGUGCGGGAUGACGGCCUUCGGGUUGUAAACCGCUUUCGCCUGUGACGAAGCGUGAGUGACGGUAAUGGGUAAAGAAGCACCGGAUAACUACGUU
rnacentral:rRNA from 1 species